rnacentral:lncRNA from 1 species
GCAGUAGCUUUCUUGGCUUUCUUAGCAGCAGAGGACUUGAUGGAUUUGGGCUGCUUUGGUUUGGCAGCAGCCGAUUUCUUUGCCUUCUUAGGCGGAGGAGGAGCGGCGGCGGCAGACUCUGCUUUGAUUUUAGCUGCAGCAGUUACGGACCUUGUUUUCCUUGGGGCCUUGGCCUUGGUCUUGAUCUCUUUUUUGGUUUUGCCAGCUGCCGCUUCAGAGAGCUUGUAAGAGGCCCUGAUCUUGAUGAGAUUUCCUUUCGCAGCGAAGUGCUUCAGCUGCACUGCCAAUAUUUUCCUGAAAUUCGCUGGGAGCUCAUCUUUGUGCUUCUCUUCCAUGUACUUGGCUAUUGCGUAUGGGCUUGAACCGCUCUUAUCUUGCAGCGCCAUCAGUGCCUCCGUUAUCAUCUGCACAAUUAAUUACAAUAAUAUCAAAAACUUCCUUCAAUGAACGUGACUUAUAAUUUAAUUUGAUUAAAUUGACAAACCUGAAAAUAAGGAGGAUGAGAGGGGGUUUUGGACUGCUUUGGCUUCUUCUCUUUAGGAGCCUUGGGCUUCUUGUCCUUAGCAGCCUUGGCCUUCUUCUCAGUGACGACCUUUUCCGGCUCCUCCGCAGCCGGCUGCUGCUCCGUCACAGCUUCACCUUCU